AAGGAUUAUCACCAACCACCAAAGCCUCCUCCUCACUGACAGGAGUGCUGUGUACAUUUCAUGCUGUUAUAACUGAGGCCAAACACUUCAGUCAGAGUGGAGACACUGAAGAGACUAAAGAAGAAGAGACAACAGGAGUCACUGUCUCAUUGUAAUGCACCCAGUAAGGUCAGCAGGAACACCUCCUCACAUGUUCGCCCGCCUUCCCAGAGAGGAGCUCAUGAUUCACAGAAACAGCCGUCAGAGACGCAGCUCCAACACGAGGAGAGGGAGAAGAUGAUUCAGCUCCUUCUGUUUUUCAGCACGAUGUCCUCCGUCUGGAUGUUUGUUGUUAAAAAGGCUCCGACUGUCUAUCAGGCAGAGGAGGAUGGCAACAUCACCAUCAGAUGGGACAGUCGGAUCCAAACUGACUUGUCUCGCGCCAACGUGAUGUGUGUUUCCCGCUCAGACGUCACUAAGACUCUGUAUAAAAUGAUCAGAGGAGUCGAGGACUCAGAGUCUCAGCAUGAGCAGUUUGCAGGACGGGUUCAGAUUGACGGAGACGCUCUGUGAGGAGGACCAAUCAGACUUCAUCUGUCCAGAGUCACAGCUGAAGACUCUGGAAACUACAGCUGUGAUCUGACUGCUGACUACGAUGACAGUCUGAAGAGAUGGCGACUCGAGACCUCUGAACAUUUUGCUUUGGAUGUGAGUCGAACCUCUGAUGGAGACAGCAGUGAUGUGUCACUCCAACCCCCCAGCUGGAGACCACCAACAGGUCUAAAACUGGCAGAAGGACGGACACACCGGGAGGAAAUUGGCUUGUAUGUUCUGACUGCAUUUUUAUUUGCUGCAAAUGCAGGAACUAUAGUACUCUCAAUAAAGUUUCUUUAUGACGGCUUAAAAAGAUCAGCAACAUACUGAAACGGGAGCGCUGUGACCCAGAAAUCAACCAGCUGAGACUAAUUCUGCUCUGAUUCACUGCUGAGCUUGGAAAAGAAAUUAUAUUAAAAUGAAAAUAACUAAAAAUCUUUUAGUGCCAAAAAAUUACACUUUACACUUUAAUGUGUUUGAAGUAAGAAAAAAGCACCAUAAUAUUUGCUAAAGCACUGAUUCUUGGCUGCAUGAAGAGAAACUUUUGGAGCAAAAAGCUUUUGAAUUCAGAGCCAACAAACAGGAUGUUUCAGAAUCAUCACAGACCCAAUAGUAACACUGUAAUUUACCACAUACUGCAUAUCAUUUAAUUUUUCCUUAAGAAUACUUAAAUGUAUUUAACAGCAGAUCACGGGGGGGGUAACAACUGUAGCUUCAGUGCUUUAAAUAACGACUAACUUUGGAUAGCUUCCACAUCAGUGUCAGCUAUUAUUAAGUAGCUUAUCCUUCCUGCCUCACAUUGUAACCACACUAUGAUUUAGGUGCAUGUAUUAUAUUAUUG